rnacentral:rRNA from 1 species
AGCGAACGCUGGCGGCAGGCUUAACACAUGCAAGUCGAGCGCCCCGCCAGGGGCACGGCAGUCGGGAGAGUAACACGUGGGAACAUACCUUUUGGUUCGGAACAACUGAGGGAUACUUCAGCUAAUACCGGAUAAGCCCUUACGGGGAAAGAUUUAUCGCCGAAGGAUUGGCCCGCGUCUGAUUAGCUAGUUGGUGAGGUAACGGCUCACCAAGGCGACGAUCAGUAGCUGGUCUGAGAGGAUGAUCAGCCACACUGGGACUGAGACACGGCCCAGACUCCUACGGGAGGCAGCAGUGGGGAAUAUUGGACAAUGGGGGCAACCCUGAUCCAGCCAUGCCGCGUGAGUGAUGAAGGCCUUAGGGUUGUAAAGCUCUUUUGCCCGGGAAGAUAAUGACGGUACCGGGAGAAUAAGCCCCGGCUAACUUCGUG